GUGCUUGCUUUGGCAGCACAUAAAUUAAAAUUGGAAUAGUACAGAGAAGAUUAGCAUGGCCCCAAGCAAGGAUGACACAUAAAUUCAUGAAGUAUUCCAUAUUACA
ensembl:snRNA U6 U6 spliceosomal RNA